rnacentral:rRNA from 1 species
UGAAGGCCUUCGGGUUGUAAACUGCUUUUGUACGGAACGAAAAGGUUCUUUCUAAUAAAGAGAGCUCACGACGGUACCGUAAGAAUAAGCACCGGCUAACUACGUGC